UACAGAGGUCCCAAGCGUUGUUCGGAUUCAUUGGGCGUAAAGAGCGUGUAGGCGGCUCGGUAAGUCCGCUGUAAAAGUCCAGGGCUCAACCCUGGAAAGCCGGUGGAAACUGUCGAGCUAGAGUCCGGAAGAGGCGAGUGGAAUUCCUGGUGUAGCGGUGAAAUGCGCAGAUAUCAGGAGGAACACCAAUGGCGAAGGCAGCUCGCUGGGACGGUACUGACGCUGAGACGCGAAAGCGUGGGGAGCAAACAGG
rnacentral:rRNA from 1 species